rnacentral:lncRNA from 1 species
AAUGGGGAUAAAAACGAGGAAAAACUCUAGAAUGCAACGGAUGUAUUGGUGACGUGGCGUAAUAAAUCAAUCAAAUAUUUUUUUUUAGAAAUAUAUGUCCCAUCAAGAUUGUAAAAAUAUAUUUUUAUUAUACUUUUGGUUGAAAAGAAGGAAUAUGAUUGGCUUAAUAUUGAUAACGUGAUGCAAGUGUGAUAGUGUAGAAUUUCUCCAAAACGAAAGAAAAAUAGGGUAAAAAUUUAUGGAGAGUCCCUCAACUAUAGGAUUUUCUGAAAUGGCCCCUCCAGUUAUUUCUUUAUAGGUGCUUUUUUUUGCUUUUGUGCUCAUUAUUAUUAUGGGAAAACUUCAAAUACUCCCUUGUGGUUUCACUUUUUUUCACUUUAGUAUUCUCUAGUUUAAAGUGUAUCAAAUUAGUACCAUGUGAUUUUGCACUUUUUCAUUUUAGUACCCUGUGAUUUAAAGUGUAUUAAGUUAAUACCCUGUGGUUUCGCACUUUAUCACUUUAGUACCUUGUGGUUUCGCACUGUAUUACUUUAGUACCCUGUGGUUUCGCACUUUAUCACUUUAGUACCCUGUGGUUUAAAAAAACUACAGAAUACUAACUUGAUACAAAAAUAAAACCACAGGGUACUAACUUGAUACAAAAAUAAAAUCAUAGAGUACUAACUGGACACACUUUAAACCACAGGGUAUUAAAGAGAUAAAGUGAGAAACCACAGGGUACCAACUUGAUACAUUAACUGGACACACUUUAAACCNUUAAAGAGAUAAAGUGAGAAACCACAGGGUACCAACUUGAUACAUUAACUGGACACACUUUAAACCACAGGGUAUUAAAGAGAUAAAGUGAGAAACCAAAAGGUACCAACUUGAUACAUUUUAAACUACAGAAUACUAAAAUGAAAAAGUACGAAAUCACAUGGAGGUUUUGAAGUUUUCUCUAUUAUUGUUGAAAUUUUUUGAAUUUAAAAGUGGGA